CGAACGCUGGCGGCAUGCUUAACACAUGCACGUCGCGCGGGUGGUUUCGGCCAUCAGCGGCGGACGGGUGAGUAUCGCGUAGGAAUGUAUCCCGAGGUGGGGGACAACCCUGGGAAACUGGGGCUAAUACCGCAUGGGGCCUGUGGGUCAAAGCCUUAGGGCGCCUUGGGAGCAGCCUGCGUCCGAUUAGGUAGUUGGUGGGGUAAAGGCCUACCAAGCCUGCGAUCGGUAGCUGGUCUGAGAGGACGAUCAGCCACACUGGGACUGAGACACGGCCCAGACUCCUACGGGAGGCAGCAGUGGGGAAUAUUGGACAAUGGGCGCAAGCCUGAUCCAGCAAUGCCGCGUGGGUGAAGAAGGUCUUCGGAUUGUAAAGCCCUUUCGGCGGGGACGAUGAUGACGGUACCCGCAGAAGAAGCCCCGGCUAACUUCGUG
rnacentral:rRNA from 1 species